AUUGAACGCUGGCGGCAGGCCUAACACAUGCAAGUCGAACGAGUGGCGGACGGGUGAGUAAUGUCUGGGAAACUGCCCGAUGGAGGGGGAUAACUACUGGAAACGGUAGCUAAUACCGCAUACCAUCAGAUGUGCCCAGAUGGGAUUAGCUAGUGGGUGGGGUAAUGGCUCACCUAGGCGACGAUCCCUGGCUGGUCUGCGAGGAUGACCAGCCACACUGGAACUGGAACACGGUCCAGCAUCCUACGGGAGGCGGCGUUGGGGAAUAUUGCACAAUGGGCGCAAGCCUGAUGCAGCCAUGCCGGGUGUAUAAAGAAGGCCUUCGGGUUGUAAAGUACUUUCAGCGGGGAGGCGUUACCCGAAGAAAAAGCACCGGCUAACUCCGUGCCAGCAGCCGCGGUAAUUC
rnacentral:rRNA from 1 species